AACGAACGCUGGCGGCAUGCCUAACACAUGCAAGUCGAACGAGACCUUCGGGUCUAGUGGCGCACGGGUGCGUAACGCGUGGGAAUCUGCCCUUCGGUUCGGAAUAACUCAGGGAAACUUGAGCUAAUACCGGAUAAUGACUACGGUCCAAAGAUUUAUCGCCGAAAGAUGAGCCCGCGUAGGAUUAGCUAGUUGGUGAGGUAAAGGCUCACCAAGGCGACGAUCCUUAGCUGGUCUGAGAGGAUGAUCAGCCACACUGGGACUGAGACACGGCCCAGACUCCUACGGGAGGCAGCAGUGGGGAAUAUUGGACAAUGGGCGAAAGCCUGAUCCAGCAAUGCCGCGUGAGUGAUGAAGGCCUUAGGGUUGUAAAGCUCUUUUACCCGGGAUGAUAAUGACAGUACCGGGAGAAUAAGCCCCGGCUAACUCCGUGCCAGCAGCCGCAGUAAGAC
rnacentral:rRNA from 1 species